rnacentral:rRNA from 1 species
GACGAACGCUGGCGGCAUGCCUAAUACAUGCAAGUCGAGCGAACAGAUGAAGUGCUUGCACUUCUGACGUUAGCGGCGAACGGGUGAGUAACUCGUAAGGAAUCUACCUAUAAGCGGGGGAUAACAUUCGGAAACGGGUGCUAAUACCGCAUAAUAUCUUCUUCCGCAUGGAAGAAGAUUGAAAGACGGCUCUGCUGUCACUUAUAGAUGACCUUGCGGUGCAUUAGUUAGUUGGUGGGGUAACGGCCUACCAAGACGAUGAUGCAUAGCCGACCUGAGAGGGUGAUCGGCCACAUUGGGACUGGGACACGGCCCAAACUCCUACGGGAGGCAGAAGUAGGGAAUCUUCCGCAAUGGGCGAAAGCCUGACGGAGCAAUGCCGAGUGAGUGAAGAAGGCCUUCGGGUCGUAAAACUCUGUUAUAAGAGAAGAACAAAUUGUAGAGUAACUGCUACAGUCUUGACGGUAUCUUAUCAGAAAGCCACGGCUAACUACGUGCCAGCAGCCGCGGUAA